CGUGAGAUGUUGGGUUAAGUCCCGCAACGAGCGCAACCCCUAUUGUUAGUUGCUACGCAAGAGCACUCUAGCGAGACUGCCGUUGACAAAACGGAGGAAGGUGGGGACGACGUCAAAUCAUCAUGCCCCUUAUAUCCUGGGCUACACACGUAAUACAAUGGCGGUCAACAGAGGGAAGCAAAGCCGCGAGGCAGAGCAAACCCCCAAAAGCCGUCCCAGUUCGGAUUGUACGGCUGCAACUCGCCUGCA
rnacentral:rRNA from 1 species